AUGAACGCUAGCGGCAGGCUUAACACAUGCAAGUCGAGGGGCAGCACAGGUAGCAAUACUGGGUGGCGACCGGCGCAAGGGUGCGUAACGCGUGAGCAACAUGCCCGUAUCAGGGGGAUAAUCCAUGGAAACGUGGUCUAAUACCCCAUAGUAAGUUUCAGAGGCAUCUUUGAGAUUUUAAAGCUUUGGUGGAUACGGAUUGGCUCGCGUGACAUUAGCUGGAUGGUAGGGUAACGGCUUACCAUGGCUACGAUGUCUAGGGGUUCUGAGAGGAAGGUCCCCCACACUGGAACUGAGACACGGUCCAGACUCCUACGGGAGGCAGCAGUGAGGAAUAUUGGACAAUGGAUGGAAAUCUGAUCCAGCCAUGCCGCGUGCAGGAAGACGGCCCUAUGGGUUGUAAACUGCUUUUGUAUGGGAGCAAUAAGAUCUACGUGUAGAUUGAUGAGAGUACCAUACGAAUAAGCACCGGCUAACUCCGUG
rnacentral:rRNA from 1 species